rnacentral:rRNA from 1 species
AUUGAACGCUGGCGGCAGGCCUAACACAUGCAAGUCCAGCGGGGUUUUCGGACCUAGCGGCGGACGGGUGAGUAAUGCGUAGGAAGCUACCCGAUAGAGGGGGAUACCAGUUGGAAACGACUGUUAAUACCGCAUAAUGUCUACGGACCAAAGUGUGGGACCUUCGGGCCACAUGCUAUCGGAUGCGCCUACGUGGGAUUAGCUAGUUGGUGAGGUAAUGGCUCACCAAGGCGACGAUCUCUAGCUGGUUUGAGAGGAUGAUCAGCCACACUGGAACUGAGACACGGUCCAGACUCCUACGGGAGGCAGCAGUGGGGAAUAUUGGACAAUGGGCGCAAGCCUGAUCCAGCCAUGCCGCGUGUGUGAAGAAGGCCUUCGGGUUGUAAAGCACUUUCAGCGAGGAGGAAGGGGUGUGUGUUAAUAGUACACACCUUUGACGUUACUCGCAGAAGAAGCACCGGCUAACUCUGUGCCAGCCGCCGCGGUAACAC